CGCAGUGGGUGACAAGAUAGGCAGACAUCUCAGGAGAGGGCUUUCUGGAAAAAACAGAAUGGGGAAUGCUCUGAAUGUCUUUUCUGCCAAAGAAUUUUGCCUCACCUCCGAAAUAUAGCUGAUUCUCAGGUGGGUGAAAUAACUGAGCAUUUCAGUUCAGUACAGCAUUAAUAUAUUUUCAUGCCCGAGGUUUGCUAACUACCCAGAUGACAUUAGUAGGUGGGAAGUAUCCAAGCCUUGCUAGCUGACUGAGCAAAUGAACAAACGAUUGUUUGAAAUAAAGAAAUACAUACACAAAGUAACACAAAGAGGUUUAGAUUCCUUUACGUGGAAGAUAGAGGAAGAUGCUGAUGGCUGUAGCUUGCAUCAGCUAAUUGGCUAAGGUACAAGAAUCUCACAGAUGAAAUCUUUGAAAUUUGAGCAAGGAUCUGCCUGCUGCACACCUGUGGAAGAGGAAUGAAUAGAGGGGGUGUGUGAACAAUUCUGCUCCAGACUGACUGGCGCCACCAACAAAACAGAAGACAUGCUUGAUCAACAACCCAAAACAAACCAGGUCAAACAACAACCGCAGCUCCCAGGCUAGGCCAAGCAGAGGAAUACACAGCUGCAAGUCCAAGCUAGAAGCUCUCCAGAGAAUGAAAGAGAGACAAGGAGUUUUGAAAAAUGUCCUCUUAGUUGUUCCUCCACCUCUAUUAAAUGCCAAACAGGCACCAGGGCAAGAAAAUUCUGCACCCCAAUCCUAUGCAUAUUUACUUGGAAGCAAGUCACAUGGAGUUAAAUUGGGACUCCACUUCCAAGUAAGGGGGUGGAGAUCACUGCCUUGCUGCCAAAGAAGAAUCCAUUGAAGACAACCAACUUCAUUUCCAUAAUGUAUUAUUCAUUGCUUUUAUAGAAAGGAAGGGAACUCCGAAGAAAUAUGCAAAGGAGGCAGUCUGAUCUAUGAAUCAGUUAAAAGCCUUUAUAGUUAGAUUGAAUGCAACAUUUCUUUUUCUUUAGGCAACAUGAAAAAGUGCAUUUUCUUACAUUUUGUCUAUUAUACCUCCCAAACAUAUUAUUUAACUGAUCCUGACCAUUUAUUAAGCAAUGUGUUCCCAAGAACCUGCCCUCUUCAAGUAAAUAUGUAGAAUUAAACAGAAAAUAUGAUUAAAAGCUACAUGCCAGCCUGAGUCACAAAACCAUUUUAAGCCAGAUGACUCAAAAUGUAAACUAAUGGGAUUAUGUUAGUCUGAACUGAAGUACUCUGGCAAAAUUAGUAGGUGGGCUGCAAGCUACCAUCCUCAUUCAAAAUACGUAUUUUUUUAAAUUUUUUCCAACUUAUUUCAAGUCCUAUUUGAUUUCCAGUAAGGGUACCAAGACCAGAGUGCUUGAAUGAGAAGAACCACAACCUGGUCCAAACUACCUUUACUUCGAAUGAAUAAAUCUUAUUGAUUUCAAUGGGGUUUCCAGAUGCUGAC